UUUCAUACUGUCCUUACUUCUGUAUCACGCUGCGUUGCCAUCUAGUGGCCAUUUCCGAUAUCAUAUUUCAAAGUAAAUUUAUUUUCAGGGUUUGACGCUUUAUUUAUUUACUUACUACUUAUUUACUUAAUUUAAGAUAUUAAAGUAAUAUUUUUGAUGGAUCACGAUCUGUAUAGGUUAAUAGUUAAGUUACAGUUGCAUUUAAGUGUACUUACAUUGACGAGUAGGAGGGUGGCAGUAGAGAGUUGUUACAGUUACGUAUUUAGUGUUCGUUCACAGCUAAAAACACACACAACACUUGAUCUACUGAUUUCUGAGAUACUACUAGUAAGUCUACUGGCUACCUCCAUUUAUUUUAUUACGGUUUUCUUUUAAUAUUGGUAGCUGUAGCUUUAUGUACAUGUCGUUAAAACUGUUUGGUGUUAUUUCACAGGCUUUAUUUUACAUUAGACUGAUAUCAGGAUAUGUAUCGACAGUUUCAUACAGUCCCGCUUCUGUCCACUAGAUGGCAGACAAUUACUUUCUCGCCAACGCCUAUCCAUCAGGAAGUCCGUGGUUGACUGUUGUUGGUUUUCUCUUUAUUUUAUCAAAAUCCUGACAGUCUCUCCCAUUACCUCUAAAACCACCUGUCCUCAAUGCAGAACUCAAUACUUCAUAAAUAUAUAUCUUAAUUGUAAAGCAAUAGUAGUGCUAUGUCCUGACGAAAGAGGCUAAUCACAUUCUUGUCAACAAACAUUUAUAAAAUCAAAUAAUAUCAAGGUCAACCUUCAAACGGAAGCUCCUCUUUUCAUGUUUGACCUUCUACGAGAUGUUAAAUCACAAAGUGCCACAGCGGGGCUCAGACAGUGCAGAGGGCACACAGCCGGUAACAAACUCCCCACACUGCUGUCAGCCCUGUGACAUGGGAACCACCAGGCCUGCGCUCAAUCACGUCUCAAACCGGCCAUCGCUUGCGGAGGUCCCAGAUACCAUAAAUUCCUCCGACCCCAGCCGCUGUGAGAACCAUGCGGGGAAAAAAACGAGACCAGAAUAGCCAAUAUGGCUCAGGACGUACAGCUACAGGCCAUAUGAAUGCAGUACGGCCAGUCCUUCAUGAGGAGAGCCUCACGGCUGGGACGAGGGGUGGCCGACAGCUGAGUGGAACACUUUCCCAUGUCGUCAGGGGUCGUGGGAUCAGCCCGCAGGCCGUGCGGCAGUUGCUUUGUCCACACAAGGAUGGCCUGUUUGUGACUGCCAAACUACGCAGAGGGAGUGAGAAAUACAGAGCAACUGAGAGAGAAUGAAAGAGAAAGAUGGAGGCUGCAUAUGCAGGUUUUUCUUUUAUUAUAUGAAGGUAACUUUAAAACAGUCUUGAAAACAUUUUACAAUCCGAUCUUUUUUGCCAUACUUUUAAUACUUUGAGCUUGAUUUUAUUGGUUUGCCCUCAUAAAAAGUAUAAAAAAAUCGGAAAAUUUGUACAAACACACACACACAUAAUUACAUUUUGAAUACAAUUUUUAAAACUAAGAUACAACUAAAAGUAUAACAAUAGUAUGGAGGAUGGAUGGAUAGAUAGAUAUAAUUACAUUUAUAAUUCUAAUAAUAUUAUAAAAAAAAAGUUUAAUAGUACUAUAAUUAAAAUAUAAUAAUUUUUUAAAACUCGGAUAACCUAAACAAAUAAUGAAAAUAAACACCAACCAUUUCAAUGUUUAUUGUAUUUUUACAAAAACUAUGAUUGUUCCUCAGUUGUCAUAUGUGGUGACCAAAAAUUUCUCCCCCCCCAAUUUUUUUUUUUUUUCAAAAAUGUUAUUUAACUGUGUUUAGGACAAAUAAAAGCUCAUUUAUUUAAAUGCUUAUUCCCAAAAAACAGAAACAAAAAAAGUUUUUAACAUCAUUUCCACCACAAUCAUUUCCAUGUGGUGCAAAUUACAUGGUGGUGGAAACCCCUCUAACCAAUUCUUGAUGGAUAACAUUUUUUUUUUUUGUUGUUGUUGCUGAAUAUCCUGUUUCACUCAUAAAUAUGUCAGAUUACAGUAAAAUGGGUUGCGACAGCCGUUUCAUCUUGACUUUAAAUCAUUGUAAAUCUGACCUUCCUCAUCUGACCUUCUUCAUCUCCAGUGUUAUGGCAACUUCUGGCAAGGUUAUUUACACUAAACCCAAACUUCAGGAGAACAUACUGUUAAAGUUUCAGGACCCAACAUUAGCCCACUCUGUCAUUUAUCUGUUAUUUCUCUCCCUUCCAAAAACAAAACAAAAAACAGUCUGUCUUUAAUUGUCAUUUUCUUUUAGGUGAUAUAUCUAGUUAUGAAACUCUAGAGGAUGCAAGCUGAUACUGCAAGGAAUCACAUUAUUACCGCAAGGCACAAGUUGAUUGGCCUCUGCUGAUCCUGCAGCCAAUGAGAUUGCUUGCUCAACAUUUAAAUUGUCUGGUUCAGUGUUUGCUGUAGGCUAGACCUGCAACCUGCUAUCAGAGUUCCUCUGAAACCCUCCACCUUCCCCAGCUCCACCUGUCAUGAUCUCCUACAGGAUUUAUGUAUGUCUAUUCAUACAGCAGCAGCAUAUCUUACAUGCUCACAGCAGUGUGUCUGUGUAUCUAUUAGCAGUAGCAAGUUCAUACUUGCUCUGCAACAGCAGAAAUAAUCAACAGCAGUAGCGUAGCAGAUCUAAGACCAAUUAUAUUAUCAUUGGUAUAUUCAAUAACAUGCUAAAACUAUUUUGAGAGUUGUCAUGAUUGAACUAACUUUCACCUUCAUAUCCUCACCUAUACCCUGAGUUCAUUCUUCAUGCAGCAGGUCUGGUCAUGAGGAAGGGUUAUUUUACCAGGUGCAGGAAGACAAACCUCCUCCAUUACAGGGCUCAUUUGACCACUCAAGCAACUCCACUGUGGGACCCACGGUCAUAAAUACCUCACUCUUGUGCUAAUAUAAUAAUAUAAGAAGGAAUAAGACCUUGCUGGUGAGAUUUCAAAUUGAUGAUGUUGGACAGAUCUUCAUAUGCAGCAUCCAGCUGAGGGACGAUUUAAGUUUGGAAAUAUUUAAUGCGUUCAUACCUUCCAAUUUUACUGAAAUUGGCAAAUGGUACAAACACCAGACAGAUAUUUACUGAUAUAAAACACACAUUUC